AGCAAACAGGCUUAGAUACCCUGGUAGUCCACCCCGUAAACGUUGGGAACUAGUUGUGGGGUCCAUUCCACGGAUUCCGUGACGCAGCUAACGCAUUAAGUUCCCCGCCUGGGGAGUACGGCCGCAAGGCUAAAACUCAAAGGAAUUGACGGGGACCCGCACAAGCGGCGGAGCAUGCGGAUUAAUUCGAUGCAACGCGAAGAACCUUACCAAGGCUUGACAUAUACGAGAACGGGCCAGAAAUGGUCAACUCUUUGGACACUCGUAAACAGGUGGUGCAUGGUUGUCGUCAGCUCGUGUCGUGAGAUGUUGGGUUAAGUCCCGCAACGAGCGCAACCCUCGUUCUAUGUUGCCAGCACGUAAUGGUGGGAACUCAUGGGAUACUGCCGGGGUCAACUCGGAGGAAGGUGGGGAUGACGUCAAAUCAUCAUGCCCCUUAUGUCUUGGGCUUCACGCAUGCUACAAUGGCCGGUACAAAGGGCUGCAAUACCGCAAGGUGGAGCGAAUCCCAAAAAGCCGGUCCCAGUUCGGAUUGAGGUCUGCAACUCGACCUCAUGAAGUCGGAGUCGCUAGUAAUCGCAGAUCAGCAACGCUGCGGUGAAUACGUUCCCGGGUCUUGUACACACCGCCCGUCAAGUCAUGAAAGUCGGUAACACCUGAAGCCGGUGGCCCAACCCUUGUGGAGGAGCCGUCGAA
rnacentral:rRNA from 1 species